GCGAUAAGCGCCGGUAAGGUGAUAUGAACCGUUAUAACCGGCGAUACCCGAAUGGGGAAACCCAGUGUGAUUCGUCACACUAUCAUUAACUGAAUCCAUAGGUUAAUGAGGCGAACCGGGGGAACUGAAACAUCUAAGUACCCCGAGGAAAAGAAAUCAACCGAGAUUCCCCCAGUAGCGGCGAGCGAACGGGGAGGAGCCCAGAGCCUGAAUCAGCAUGUGUGUUAGUGGAAGCGUCUGGAAAGGCGCGCGAUACAGGGUGACAGCCCCGUACACAAAAGCGCAUGUGCUGUGAGCUCGAUGAGUAGGGCGGGACACGUGGUAUCCUGUCUGAAUAUGGGGGGACCAUCCUCCAAGGCUAAAUACUCCUGACUGACCGAUAGUGAACCAGUACCGUGAGGGAAAGGCGAAAAGAACCCCGGCGAGGGGAGUGAAAAAGAACCUGAAACCGUGUACGUACAAGCAGUGGGAGCACCCUUCGGGGUGUGACUGCGUACCUUUUGUAUAAUGGGUCAGCGACUUAUAUUCUGUAGCAAGGUUAACCGUAUAGGGGAGCCGGAGGGAAACCGAGUCUUAAUUGGGCGUUAAGUUGCAGGGUAUAGACCCGAAACCCGGUGAUCUAGCCAUGGGCAGGUUGAAGGUUGGGUAACACUAACUGGAGGACCGAACCGACUAAUGUUGAAAAAUUAGCGGAUGACCUGUGGCUGGGGGUGAAAGGCCAAUCAAACCGGGAGAUAGCUGGUUCUCCCCGAAAGCUAUUUAGGUAGCGCCUCGUGAAUUCAUCUCCGGGGGUAGAGCACUGUUUCGGCUAGGGGGCCAUCCCGGCUUACCAACCCGAUGCAAACUGCGAAUACCGGAGAAUGUUAUCACGGGAGACACACGGCGGGUGCUAACGUCCGUCGUGAAGAGGGAAACAACCCAGACCGCCAGCUAAGGUCCCAAAGUCAUGGUUAAGUGGGAAACGAUGUGGGAAGGCCCAGACAGCCAGGAUGUUGGCUUAGAAGCAGCCAUCAUUUAAAGAAAGCGUAAUAGCUCACUGGUCGAGUCGGCCUGCGCGGAAGAUGUAACGGGGCUAAACCAUGCACCGAAGCUGCGGCAGCGAACGUAUCACCCAAGACAACUUUACGGAGUUGACGAUUGACGGAGCGAAGCGACGUCAAAGCGUUCAUUAAAGUCGAGUUGGCUUAGGGAUACGUUCGUUGGGUAGGGGAGCGUUCUGUAAGCCUGUGAAGGUGUGUCGUGAGGCAUGCUGGAGGUAUCAGAAGUGCGAAUGCUGACAUAAGUAACGAUAAAGCGGGUGAAAAGCCCGCUCGCCGGAAGACCAAGGGUUCCUGUCCAACGUUAAUCGGGGCAGGGUGAGUCGACCCCUAAGGCGAGGCCGAAAGGCGUAGUCGAUGGGAAACGGGUUAAUAUUCCCGUACUUGGUGUUACUGCGAAGGGGGGACGGAGAAGGCUAUGUUGGCCGGGCGACGGUUGUCCCGGUUUAAGCGUGUAGGUGUGUGUUCCAGGUAAAUCCGGUU
rnacentral:rRNA from 1 species